AAAGAUCGAAUGUUGGAAUUUGGAUGGGUAAGAAAAUGAGAACAGAGUAGCCCAUAUAGCCUUGAUGUUGAUGAUAAGGGGAACAGGAUAAGUGAUCCACGGUGUUACAUUGAGUAUUUGUCAUACAGGUAUGUGUUGAACUUAAAAUUCUCAUGGUAUGAUCUUAAGCCACGAUUCAUGGAACACAUCAACUUAGCUAAUGUUGCUUUCUCUGCUUGACCAUUCUAACAUGUCCUAAUCUGAUCUGCUUUUGGAAAAGACGAGACCAGUACACAAUCCACGUGAAUGCAUCUUCUCAAGCUAAAGUUUCCAACCACGAUGGUUUCAUCUCUCGCUGAUCGAUCGGGACUUGUCCGGCCUUCGUGUCUCCACACCAGUGCAGCAAGGUUUGCUGCCUUCCGGCCAUGGAUUCUUCUCCUCGUCAGUGUCUUGCACGUCGGCGCGUGGAUAUGGCAUCCGGUCCGGUGAGAUGAUUGGCAGAUUGGGUCACUUCAAACUUUGUAUCUACCCACUGACUCGCGGAUAUACUUCAAAACUGGCCAUCCGUGGAUCUUAUGCUAAAGGGAG
rnacentral:lncRNA from 1 species